AGUAGAGCUGCCCCAAGAGUUCAUUUGUUUCUUGUAUCAGAGGUCUUGUUUGGGGUUUCUUGGCAUUGCCCUACUAACCCUACUUAGACUCUCUCAGAAAACAGUGUGUAUCAUGAAAACAUGGCCCACUAGUACUUAAUGACAGAGCACAUAUUGUUUCCACUUGCCUCUUUGAAAGAUAGACAUUGUAUAUCUUUACUUGCAGUUUAUCCUCUCUGCUAGGCUGAGGUAUGUGCGAGCUCACAGAAGCUUGCCUUAGUUGUGACUCUGCCAGCUAGGUCUGCUCUUUGUUCCCAAAGGGCUGCAAGGCAGGACAGGGCAGCUGAAUUUGGCAGGCAAAUAAAAGCUGUUGGCAGACUACAAGAAAAACAACAGCUAUAUAGUUGAGAAGCUCUCUCAGAAUCACACGGUGACUCAGAAUGUGCACCUUAACGUUUCACAGCUACUUUGCUCCUGAGAGCACAGUCUUGCAUCUCAGCCAAAACAAAGCCUUACAGCAGAUACAUUUCCAUAUUGUAAUAAUAGCUUCAUUUUCUAGACAUGAAGUACACGUCCUCCGGUAAUAUGUGAUAAAAUGUAGAUUGUAUGUAUUCUGUGUCUACUCUUGUCACCCACGCUGGCAGCCUCUCCUUGGGAGUUUCUACAGCCACAUGCACCUGGUAAUGCUUACACUUUCUUAUACAUACCCCAGCAAAGCCUGAAGACACAAGUUUCACCUAAAAACCACCAUCUUGCAUGCUGAUAGACUCACAGCCAGGGGAAAACAUGUGAAAAGAUGAAAAGAUGUUGGGCAAAAAUAUGUGAAAAUGUGUUGAGGGAAAAAAACAGAAAAGCCUUGUGAAAGUAAACAGACCAAGUCAGCCUGACAGACAUGGCUUCCUGACCUCAGACCAGGCCACUCACCUUGUGUACCACUGCUGAGGCCAAGAGAUGGUGAGCAGCUGGACAUGGGCUGGCUCUGCUCUCCUCCCAGUGUCCCUGGGCAGUCAGCCAGCAUCUGGCUGGGUGUCCUGUCAGCCCUGGAGGGGCUGGGGCCUUGCACUGCUUGCCCAGCAAGCCCUCAGGUGCAAGGGUGUCCUGGCUUGGGUAGGCCCAAAGUCUGCAGGGAUGCUGCCAAGGCGGCAGCUGUGCUUUUUGCUCUGGACACCUAAGCUGCAGGCAUGCAGGGAAAUCUUAUUAUCAGCUUGCGAUGUUUCAGCUAUUUUAGAGGGCAAGAAGUGAGAGAAUGAGUGAUUCUAAGCAGUGAGUCAGCUGCUAUCUACAUAUGGCCGGGAUUACACCUCAUUUAGCUGGAUCUCCUAAUCGUUGUGUAAAGGCUGUUCCCCUUCAUGUCCAAGGUAAUUCAGCUGAGAUGAUGCCAGAAACUACUGGGGAGAGUUAUUCCUGUUUGUAGUUAAACCUUCAGAUACGAUGAUUCUGUUCCUAGAAUGCAGUAAAAGCCCAAUAUGUGUUAAACUGCAACACUGCCAAAUUUUCCAGCAGUUGAUAGUAAUUGGAAUAGCUCUUAGACCUGAUUAUUAUACAGACUCUUCCAUACACUCCUGGUAAGGCUUUUUUCUAUGCUAAGAACAAUGAUGCUGAUUCUUAGCAAUCAUUUCAGCAAUUUCAAAUACCCUGAGUUACAAAUUAGUCUUGCUUAGUAUUCUUUUUCAAAUAUGUACAAUCUUUUGGUCUGUACUACAAACGCACUUAUAAAGAAUUACACAUUUUCACGGACUUUCUAGACUUGUUGCUUUUGCCCAGCUUCAGACUAAACAUGGCAAUGCAUUUUGUAGAGAAUACUCCUAUUCCUGUACUGUGAAAAUUCAUGUAGAUUUUGUUACCAAUGCCUACAGAGGAGAGAUCAAACCUUUGGCAAAGUAAGUACUUAGUAACAAUAGCACCAGAGGUACAGUAGCAUAUACUGGAGCAUUAGAUAAUUUAAUGAAUAAAACAUGUUAUUUUGCAUUCA
rnacentral:lncRNA from 1 species